rnacentral:lncRNA from 13 species
GUGUAGUUUCUCGGCUGGGCAUGACCGGAAAAGAGGAGAGAAGAGCGCAUUGCAUGGCGGGAGAUAUAGUCCUCCCGGGAAGUCCCUCCUUCCUCGGAAGCCUGGCGGCGCCGGCGCACACUGCUCUUCCAUAAGGGCGGGAGUCUCGGUUUGUGGCGGUUUCGAUGAGGCGGUUGUGGCCGCAAUACCGUUAGCAGCUCAAUUUCUCCGAGGCUCUAAGGCCCUUUGAGGCGAAAUGGCUCCGGGCGAGGAAGGAGCAGGCGGUGGCAAUGGAAGGGCCGCCGCGGCCACAGGCUGACCGUAGGGAGGGAUCCUGAGGGCCCUCCAGGAAUCCCGCUUUCUUUCUUUGCCGCCACCGAGCCUACCGCGAUAAUGAGCUCGGCCUCGGUCACCGCUUUCGAGAAGGAGCAUCUCUGGAUGUAUCUGCAGGCGCUCGGCUUCGAACCAGGCCCGGCGACCAUUGCUUGCGGAAAGAUCGUGUCGCACACGCACCUCGGAGUACGGAGUCUUGCUGUGUCGCCUAGGCUGGAGUGAAGUGUCGCGAUUUCAGCUCCCUACAACCUCCGCCUCCUGGGUUCAAGCAGUUCUCCUGAGUAGCUGGAAUUACAGGUGCCCGCCACCACGGCUGGCUAAUUUUUGUAUAUAUUAUUAUUUUUUUUUUUUAGAGACAGGGGUCUUGCUAUGUUGCCCAGGCUGGAGUGCAGUGGCUAUUCACAGGUGCGAUCCCAGUACUGAUCAGCAUGGGAGUUUUGACUUGCUGUUUCCGACCUGGGCUGGUUCACCGCUCCUUAGGUAACCUGGUGAUCCCCCUCUCCGGGAGGUAACCAUAUUAACGCUGAACUUAAUGCGGACACCAGUCAGCAUAGUGCACUACCGCCUAGAACUCCUAGGCUCAAGCAAUCCUCCUACCUCAGCCUCCUGAGCAGCUGGGACUACAGGCAUACACCACCACACCAGGCUACGUUUUGUAUUUUUAGUAGAGAUGGGUUUUCACCAUGUUGGUCAGGCUGGUCUUGAACUCUUGAGCUCGUGCUCUUCCUACCUCAGCCUCCCAAAGUGCUGGGAUUACAGGCAUGAGCCACUGUACCCUGCCUAAGGUACUUUUAAAAUUGCUCAAUGCACCUGUAAAUCCAGCUACUCAGAAAGCUGAGGUGGGAAAUUGCUGUUGGCCAGAAGUUUGAGACCAGCUUGGGCAACUUAGUGAGACUCUGUCUCUUAAAAAAAUAAUUAGGCUGGGCAUGGUGGUUCACACCUGUUAUCCCAGUGCUUUGGGAGGACAAGGUGGGAGGAUUGCUUGAGCCCAGGAGUUUGAGGCUACAGUGAGCUAUGAUUGUACCACUGCAUUCCACCUUGGAUAACAGGGCGAGAUCCUGUCUCUUAAAAAUAAAAAAAAAAACUUGGGAAGCA